rnacentral:rRNA from 1 species
UACGUAGGGUGCGAGCGUUAAUCGGAAUUACUGGGCGUAAAGCGUGCGCAGGCGGUUAUUUAAGUCAGGUGUGAAAGCCCUGGGCUUAACCUAGGAAUUGCGCUUGAGACUGGAUAGCUUGGAGUGCGGCAGAGGGAGGUGGAAUUCCACGUGUAGCAGUGAAAUGCGUAGAGAUGUGGAGGAACACCGAUGGCGAAGGCAGCCUCCUGGGCCAGCACUGACGCUGAGGCACGAGAGCGUGGGGAGCAAACAGG